rnacentral:lncRNA from 1 species
CCAAGUUGAAUGCAAAAUAUCUAUUCCAAUUUGAUUUUAUGAAUAUCCAACAAAAAAAAUUGCAAUUUUGAACAGGGCCGUAUAUAUUCAUGUAUGGAGCAGCGGGCAAAUCCUACGCCCAAUGAAAAUCACUAUGUUUUUGUAUAUAUUGAUUAUAUUGAUUAUAUUUGUACUGUUAGCGGGCUUACAGCCUUUGUAUUAUGUGGGCUUACCUAAUUUGUACUAUUGGGCCAGGCGACCCAUAACCCGAACGGGUCAAAACUUCAUAAUAUAUAAAGAGGACACCGCCCAUGCGGUGGGGGAUCCAAC